rnacentral:rRNA from 1 species
UAGACGAUGGGGAUGCGUUCCAUUAGAUAGUAGGCGGGGUAACGGCCCACCUAGUCUUCGAUGGAUAGGGGUUCUGAGAGGAAGGUCCCCCACAUUGGAACUGAGACACGGUCCAAACUCCUACGGGAGGCAGCAGUGAGGAAUAUUGGUCAAUGGGCGAGAGCCUGAACCAGCCAAGUAGCGUGAAGGAUGACUGCCCUAUGGGUUGUAAACUUCUUUUAUAAAGGAAUAAAGUCGGGUAUGGAUACCCGUUUGCAUGUACUUUAUGAAUAAGGAUCGGCUAACUCCGUGCCAGCAGCCGCGGUAAUACGGAGGAUCCGAGCGUUAUCCGGAUUUAUUGGGUUUAAAGGGAGCGUAGAUGGAUGUUUAAGUCAGUUGUGAAAGUUUGCGGCUCAACCGUAAAAUUGCAGUUGAUACUGGAUAUCUUGAGUGCAGUUGAGGCAGGCGGAAUUCGUGGUGUAGCGGUGAAAUGCUUAGAUAUCACGAAGAACUCCGAUUGCGAAGGCAGCCUGCUAAGCUGCAACUGACAUUGAGGCUCGAAAGUGUGGGUAUCAAACAGGAUUAGAUACCCUGGUAGUCCACACGGUAAACGAUGAAUACUCGCUGUUUGCGAUAUACUGCAA